UGAGUCUGUUCUGACGGCUCUGGGAGGAUGCAAAAUACUGAGGGAGCUGUCUAAACUGGAGAUUGAGACAGCCGCUAAACUCUCCAUGAAGGAGUUGGCCACAAAGUUUGAGUGUAUGGCUCAUGAUGUGUUUAGCAUGUGCUACCAAACCAAAGCAAGUUAUUCCUACAAGCUGCUGAUCCGCAAGUCUAAUCUGUGGGGUGACGCCACCUGUCUGAAGAUGGCCAUGGCCACUGAUGCCCGUUAUUUCUUCAGCCAUGAUGGAGUACAGUCCCUGCUGUCUCAGAUCUGGUGGGGUGACAUGGAAAGAGGA